rnacentral:rRNA from 1 species
UAGGGGAUCUUCCGCAAUGGACGCAAGUCUGACGGAGCAACGCCGCGUGAGUGAAGAAGGAUUUCGGUUCGUAAAACUCUGUUGUUAGAGAAGAACAGCGCAUAGAGUAACUGUUAUGCGUGUGACGGUAUCUAACCAGAAAGCCACGGCUAACUACGUGCCAGCAGCCGCGGUAAUACGUAGGUGGCAAGCGUUGUCCGGAUUUAUUGGGCGUAAAGCGAGCGCAGGCGGUCAAUUAAGUCUGAUGUGAAAGCCCCCGGCUCAACCGGGGAGGGUCAUUGGAAACUGGUUGACUUGAGUGCAGAAGAGGAGAGUGGAAUUCCAUGUGUAGCGGUGAAAUGCGUAGAUAUAUGGAGGAACACCAGUGGCGAAGGCGACUCUCUGGUCUGUAACUGACGCUGAGGCUCGAAAGCGUGGGUAGCAAACAGG